rnacentral:misc_RNA from 1 species
CUGGAAAUUUACUAAGAUUACUGGGUUUUCGCUGGAUUUCCAUGGAAACAAAAGACUUCGCUGGAAGUUCGCUGGAAAUCCAACGAAAAACUUCCAGUGAUCUUAAAGUUCGCUGGAAGUUUACUGGGUUUCUUGCGAAAUAUUUCGCGGUGAUGUAAAAAGCGUUGCUGUUACAAUUUCUGCAAGCAGUUAAAACUUGGAAAAUUGAUAAUAUAGCUUCUUAAAAUAAUAUUUCAAAUUUUUGUAUAAAAGUAAUCCUUUUUAUUUUAUUUUUUGCAUCUAAUAGAUGAUCUAUAGUGUGAGUUUUAAUUAUUAUUAGUUCUACUCAAGUUACAAAACAAAAUCAUCUGGUAGUUUAAUGAUUAUAAUGGUUGCCAAUGGUGUUCUUCUCAAGGGAAGACACUGUACUGUUGUAAAUAAUCUUUUAUCUGCAAUCAGUGUGCCAAGCAAUAUAAGACAGACUCGAUGAUCAUUAAGUUGUAUAAAGCAUUGGAAAGG